GUGUCCGCGUUAUCUGCUACUGUCGUUCCGACGUACGAAAUGUUCACGGCCUGCAUAUGAGACGUCACUCGUCCACUGAUUUUUUUAUAUGCGGAACCAGCCCUGAAAUGUCGCAUGCAAGGAGCAGUGACGUAACACACAGCCUUGCGAGCUGUGGAGGCAGUUUAAUACAGCAGCAAAUGCUACGACUUUGCAUCAGCCAAUUUGCCACUCAUCUUAAAGCAAACGCGUCCAGCUUCUGGCCUCUCUGGGCAGCGCAUGCGCACUAGCACUAGCAGCGCUUGCGCACCUCGCAGCGCGCAUGGCUCUCGACAUAACUCGGAAGUGCGCAUCGGGGUCAGCAAACGUUUCUGCAGGCGCGCGUCUGUCUGCAAUAUGUCGGGCCGUCUUCCCGGUCUCUCUCACGGACGGAGUCAGUAUUUUCAUGGCGCGCACUCGAGCACCCGUAUCAACUGCUGGCCAAGCACUGGCUCCCCAUACAGACGCCGCGGGCACCGAUGCGCAGGCGGAUCGAGGAAACAUGGCAGACGAGCAGCCGACCCCCGAAGCCGUUGGUCCGGACGACGGCAUUUGUCCGCAGCAUGGGUUGUCUGUUUCGUCACACUGCCCACAGCCGGUACGACCUUGCCGCUGCACGAAUUGCUACAUGGAGCGAAUGAUCCCGGUGCACUAUGAAAUUCACCAACGCGCUUCGUUUCUGGAAUGAGAACGCAACAUGUUCUGGUGUCACAACACGAAAAUGCGGCGUGCAGGUUACGGAACCGCACGGUUUCCAUGGAAGCGUCGACGGGGGGCUCGCCGCAACAUCUUGGAACGGCAACCGCCGCAGUCCGAGUGCUAGCAUGAUAUACAGUCGGCUGUCUCUGCCUUCUCCCUACACAGGACACGCCCACUAAGGUGAACAAAUGCAUCAAGUCACGAAUGCGGGACUGCGGACAACCAAUAGAGAAGCAGGGAGACAACUAUAACGUGACCUGCUCGGCGGCUGCCGAGCACAUUUAGGGUCACUGCAGUAGUCACUGGGGCACCUUCGCCAUAUCGCAAGACCCUUGUGGAACAAAAGCAGUCACCACCGAGACCACGUUGAAAUGGAAAGCGAGAACAGCGACGGGGGCACCAAGGAGGAUUACCUCAGCACCGAC